ACAAUAAAAAGCUUCUUGACUUGACUUGACUUGACUAGAUACAGCAGCAGCACUCAGUCCGCCUACACCCAGGGUGGAUACCAGGCCCAGCAGUCAGCCUACGGUGGGCAGCAGCAGGCUACCUACCCUCAAGUCCCACCCCAACAGCCUCCAUCUACCGCCUACCCUCAAGUCCCACCCCAACAUCCUCCAUCUACCGCCUACCCUCUAGUCCCAUCCCAACAGCCUCUAUCUACCGCCUACCCUCGAGUCCCACCCCAACAUCCUCCAUCUCAAGUCCCACCCCAACAGCCUCCCUCUACCGCCUACCCUCCUCCCAACAGAUCCUACUCCCACUCUCAGUACAGCCAGCCUGGAGCUUCUCAGAGCAGCUACGACCAGUCUGGACACUAUGGUGGUUACAAUUAGGGUGGUGUGAGCGGAUGUUACGGAGGCUCUCAGCCACCCCAGCAUGGAGGUUACCCCGGAGAUGGUCGUGAUGGCUACGACAGGCCAGGGAUGCGUGGUAGACCUCAAGGUCGUGGCCUGAUGGAUUGUGGCAUGGGCGGAUGGAUAUGAACACGCUUGAGACCACAACCUCCAUGGCACAAGUGGUGUUGGGCCUCACAAUGUUGGGCGACAACAUCGGCCACAUCGCCAAGGAGGAGAAGUGUGGCGACAGUGUCGCAGUCAUCAACGUGGCCGCGGUGGCGAUUAUCCUUGAGGUCCUGUUGCUCCUGUUCCUUGGCUUCAUGUAUCUGAACAAUGGAAGUCAGAUGCAGCGACACACCGCACGCAUUUUAUUUGAGAUAUUUUUGAUUUUCUUUUGUUGGUUUUAUUUUUGUU